rnacentral:misc_RNA from 1 species
AGCUGGAGGAUCAAUGGUCCAUCCUCAGGUUCCCGGCAUCCUCUUUACACCUAUCUGCCCACAUUCUUUAUCCUUUCGCCCUCUCAUUUUGCCCGAGUAUGUGACAAUACGAGUACAAGUACCUUUCAACAGCAGAGGUCAUGCAUGGGCGUCAUUUGAUGGAAAAGACAGGAAAAAGUUAGCACCGGGAGACGCCCUUGUUUGUAGCAUGGCAACUUGGCCUGUACCAACUGCAUGUCAAGCUGAUUCCACCAGUGACUUUUUACGGAGCAUACAUGAAGGUCUUCACUGGAAUUUGAGGAAGACGCAAUCUUUUGAUGGCCCUCGUGAGACGUGAUCAUCUCUACUAACCAUUUAUCUGGUAAGGAAAUGAGAGGUUUUCCGAAUAUGACUUGUUUCGAAGCAGAGAGAUCUUGAUACAUAUAUACACCUAUAUAUAUAUAUAAGUUCAAAUGUAGAACUAACUAUGAGGAUGAUGAGUCUCAACUUUAGGUGCUUUA